rnacentral:rRNA from 1 species
UGGUCCUACGGGACGCAGCAGUGAGGAAUAUUGGUCAAUGGGCGCAAGCCUGACCCAGCAACGCCGCGUGAAGGAAGAAGGCUUUCGGGUUGUAAACUUCUUUUCUGAGGGACGAUAGUGACGGUACCUCAGGAAUAAGCCACGGCUAACUACGUGCCAGCAGCCGCGGUAAUACGUAGGUGGCAAGCGUUAUCCGGAUUUACUGGGUGUAAAGGGCGUGUAGGCGGGAUGGUAAGUCAGCUG